UACAGAGGGUGCAAGCGUUAAUCGGAAUUACUGGGCGUAAAGAGUGUGUAGGCGGUGCUCUAAGUUCGGUGUGAAAUCUCCCGGCUUAACUGGUAGGGUGCGCCGGAAACUGGAGUGCUUGAGCGCGGGAGAGGAAAGCGGAAUUCCUGGUGUAGCGGUGAAAUGCGUAGAUAUCAGGAGGAACACCUGUGGUGUAGACGGCUUUCUGGACCGUAGCUGACGCUGAGACACGAAAGCGUGGGUAGCAAACAGG
rnacentral:rRNA from 1 species